GAUGAACGCUGGCGGCGUGCCUAAUACAUGCAAGUCGAGCGAAGCGGGGACAGGUGCGUAACACGUGGAUAACCUCCUAUAAGUCUGGGUUAACUUCGGGAAACCGGUGCUAAACGGGCUACUUAUAGAUGGAUCCUCGCUGCAUUAGCUAGUUGGUAAGGUAACGGCUUACCAAGGCCACGAUGCAUAGCCGACCUGAGAGGGUGAUCGGCCACACUGGAACUGAGACACGGCCCAGACUCCUACGGGAGGCAGCAGUAGGGAAUCUUCCGCAAUGGGCGAAAGUCUGACGGAGCAACGCCGCGUGAGUGAUGAAGGUUUUCGGAUCGUAAAACUCUGUUAUUAGGGAAGCGGUACCUAAUCAGAAAGCCACGGCUAACUACGUGCCAGCAGCCGCGGUAAUAC
rnacentral:rRNA from 1 species